GCGAGCUGUACGCUUUUUGUAGUCACCAUCUCAAACAUUUUACAUCUGCCUGCCACUCACACUGAUGAGUCCAUAUGAGUCCCAAUGAUCGCUGACGCUCAAUUAUCAGAGAGCAACACUAUUUAUUGUCUUUGGAGGUGAUAAUUUUCCAAGUACAGCUUACUCUGGAAGCUUUUUAAAAAGAAGUCAAUGGCGUCUUGCUGAAAGCUGCUCCAAAGGAGCCGUGAAUCCACAUCAUUGUGGGGUUCCGGUUCCAUCACAUUAAAUGCAGCAUCUGAAACCCUAAGUGACCCGAUAUACCGUUCAGAUGAAUGAACUCAUCCCGAAAUUUACACAUAAGUCAAAAAUAGCUUUGUCUAUAAAUAGGGCGGCUCAUCGGAACAUUUUCUACAGUUCCUAAACAAAUCUGCACAGAACGCUACACAUGGCCUUUAGAAGUAGAAAGUAUUCGCAUCCUAUUUGAAUGUUGAUGUGAUGAAUCAGAUUCAAACUCGCAGGCGGAGAAAUGGAGCUUCUCUGAUCCAAACGGUUUCAUCAACAUGCAUGCGAGAGCCGUUGGUGAUGAAGCCAACGCGUGGAAGAAAUUGUCAGAGCUUGUGAUUUGAAGGGGGGACGGCGGGAUCACCUUCGUGGUGACCAGAAAGCGGGUCCUCUUGCCACCUCGCCUUUCUACACAACCUAGUAAGCAAGUGGUGACGGGCAAAAAGCAAAGAUGCGCUCGACAUUAAUGAGGCGUUGGAGAAAGCUGACAGAACCGAAGACUCUCUGGAGUGAUGUGUCAGACACUUUGUGAAUGCUUCCUUCAGCGAAACAUCCUGUCAAUCCCUGAAGCAAGUAUUAAGACCGAGUCAUAAAUGUGAAGGGAUUGCAAGCGUGUCCGCUGGCAGACUGAGAAACCUCAGAUGAAGCGUCUUUCGUAAUUUGGGCAUGGGCGUGGGGAAGUGUAGAUUACAAAAUCAAUCCUUGUCACGAACGCUGAUAACUUAGCGGGUUGAUACGAUUGUGAGAAGUUGAUCAGCUUUGCAAGUGCUGGAUUUGAUUUUGUCCAUUAGGCUGCUCGAAUGGUGUUCGUUGGCGGCGAUGGCCCACGCGGAUUCCCAGCCUCCGUGGUUUGAGUUUUCUGGUUUUCUGGUUUUAUUUAUUUAUUUAUUUAUUUUAUUUUAUUGAGAUGAGUAUUUUGCAUUGUUCCUCUUCGUCUAAUUGGUGAUUUUUAAUUGGUGAUUUUUAAUUGGUGAUUUUUAAUUGGUAAUUAGAUUUGUUUUGUGAGGUGGUGUAUCUCAAAAGUCCCUAAGGGUAGUAAAGUAUACUAGGACUAAGUUACACAUUGACAAAUUUAGAUUAGAAAAGAAAUCAAAGUACAAAAUAUACAACUAUUGAGUGGUUAUUUAUAUUUUUAUAAUGACAUCUAGAUGAAUAUGUUUAGAGUUGUAACUAGAAGUAUA